CUGAACUAACAUGUAUCGAACAUCUGUUAUGUAUCAAUCUGUUGGAUAGGCAUUGCAUACAUGCCACCUCACUGAAUUUUGCCCGGAUUUGGUAAAAAAUUAUGCCUGUAAAUGUUCUCUACAGACGAUCAGAACAAGAAGAGAUCAUUGUGAUGUGCUGAAGCGAGUUGUUUUUAAUUUUACUUUGCUAAUCAUCCUCCACCACAAGCUGUAAACAACCUAUUUAACCAGUUCAAACCCCUGUUUGCGUUAAGAAUGUGAAUUCUGCAGCAAAGGCAUUACCCCAGGAAGCCACUCUUAAAAG
rnacentral:lncRNA from 1 species